GAUGAACGCUAGCGGCAGGCCUAACACAUGCAAGUCGAGGGGGAGGAUACUUUCGGGUAACUGAGACUGGCGUACGGGUGCGUAACGCGUAUACAAUCUGCCUCUCACUGUGGGAUAGCGCGAAGUUAUUUGGACUAAUACUCCAUCGUAUAGUUAUAUGGCAUCGUGAUGUUAUUAAAGCUUAGGCGGUGAAAGAUGAGCAUGCGUUCUAUUAGCUAGUUGGUUAGGUAACGGCUCGCCAAGGCGAUGAUAGAUAGGGGUGCUGAGAGGGAUGUCCCCCACACUGGUACUGCGAUACGGACCAGACUCCUACGGGGGGCAGCAGUGAGGAAUAUUGGAGGAGGGUCGGUAGACUGAUACAGCCAUGCCGCGUGCAGGAUGAAGGUCUUAUGGAUUGUAAACUGCUUUUGAAAAGGAAGAAUAAAGGCUACGCGUAGUUUGAUGACGGUACCUUACGAGAAAGCAUCGGCUAACUCCGUG
rnacentral:rRNA from 1 species